UCUUCUUCUUGCUCUCUUACUGUAGCUAUUACUCUUCCAAAUCCUCUUCGCCGAUCCAUCUUAUCCUUCCCCUCCAAUGACACUACUCAGUGCAGGGCAAGUGCAAACAGAUCUUGAGGUUGGUUCUUAGAGUUUGUGAAGUCGAGGGAUCUGUCGUUGUCGUUGAUGGAGGAAGCACUCCGAGAAGUAAGAGGCUGCAUCAGAGGUUUAGGCCUCCAGGUGUUUAGACCAUCUUGUUAGUGGAUGGAUACCACUUCACUGUGCUAAGGGACUAAUACAGGUGAUCAGCGGGAAUCCCGAAGGGAGAUCCCCACAAUGAGAAUAGUCGAUCUGGUUCCAGAAAAUAUCUCAACCCUACCGUAGUCUCAAUUCAGUAAGUAUGAUUAGUUAUAGAGAUUGAAAUAAAAGAAAGAAUGCAUGAAAGCAAAAAGGAAAAAAUAUCUUGCACCUUACAUUGUCAGUGUAUAAUGUUGAUGAGCUGCAACAAUUCUACCAAUUGGAAUUUGUGAUGCAUAAGCAAACUAUCUUCCACAUC